rnacentral:rRNA from 1 species
GACGAACGCUGGCGGCGCGCCUAACACAUGCAAGUCGAACGAGCGAGAGAGAGCUUGCUUUCUCGAGCGAGUGGCGAACGGGUGAGUAACGCGUGAGGAACCUGCCUCAAAGAGGGGGACAACAGUUGGAAACGACUGCUAAUACCGCAUAAGCCCACGACCCGGCAUCGGGUAGAGGGAAAAGGAGCAAUCCGCUUUGAGAUGGCCUCGCGUCCGAUUAGCUAGUUGGUGAGGUAACGGCCCACCAAGGCGACGAUCGGUAGCCGGACUGAGAGGUUGAACGGCCACAUUGGGACUGAGACACGGCCCAGACUCCUACGGGAGGCAGCAGUGGGGAAUAUUGCACAAUGGGGGAAACCCUGAUGCAGCGACGCCGCGUGGAGGAAGAAGGUCUUCGGAUUGUAAACUCCUGUUGUGGAGGUAGAUAAUGACGGUACUCAACAAGGAAGUGACGGCUAACUACGUG